AUGAGGGAAGAGGCCUUGAAGCUGUCACUGAAGUACAGCUUUGUGACCUCACUCACAUCUAUGGUGGUCACCAAGCCUGAGGGAGAAAACUCUGAUGUGCUGCAUAAACCCAAAGAAGGCCAGAUGCAGCCUAAUCCAGGUAUAGCAUUGCCUUGCUUUAACUUGAUAAUGUCAAAUAAUUUAUUAUUGUAUUUUAUAUAUAAAUACAUUUACAAUGUUGCAAAUUGAUUAACCAUUAAUCAUUUGAUGAUGCACCAUCGGAAAAAACAUUUUAAUUUGAUGUAUACAAAGCUCAAACAUUUGGACUGUGCAAGUGGCUUAUUUAAAAUUAGACUACAAGACCGAAAAGUAAAACUUUGAACUCAUUUAUUAUGUUUUUUUCUGUUUUUACAGUUGCAAAUUCAGGUUUGAUGUAGAAAAUCUUGUACAGCAAUUGAGUGACAGAAAAAGUUAACUUUCUUUAAUGCUUAUAUAUUUUUUAAUUGAAACAGAAACAAUGGGGGGGGGGGGGGGGCGUCACGGUGGUGCGGUGGGUAGCACUGUCGCCCCACAGCAAGAAGGCUCUGGGUUCGAUUCCCGGAGGCGGCCCCUGUGCCUCUCUGUGUGGAGCUUGCACGUUCUCCCCAUGUUUGCGUGGGUUCUCUCCGGGUUCUCCGGCUUCCUCCCACAGUCCAAAGACGUGCAUUAGGUUGAUUGGCUUCUCUCCAUUGCCCGUAGGUGUGAGUGUGUGAGUGAAUGGUUGUCUGUCUAUGUGUUGCCCUGCGAUGGACUGGCGACCCUGUCCAGGGUGUACCCUGCCUCUCGCCCGUAGCCAGCUGGGUUAGGCUCCAGCACCCCCGUGACCCCGCACUAGGAGUAAGCGGUUAAGAAAAUGGAUGGAUGGACAAUGUGUACAUGUCCUAAAGGUCUGCCAAUAAUGCCAACUUCAGCUUUUAGUGGAUGACAGUAGGGUAUACUGUCAUCCGGUAAGUCACUUACUAAAUGAAAACAUUUGCCAAAAUAUUUAGCUAAAAACUGUCUGAACUAUAAUUAUUUUUAAUUACUAUAAUUAACUAUAAUAAAAUGUCAUUAUUGUACUGUAAAUAAAAAUAU
rnacentral:lncRNA from 1 species